rnacentral:rRNA from 1 species
AAGGCUUGACAUGCACGGGAAAGUUGCAGAGAUGGUUCCCUCGCUUGGGGCGUGCACACGGGGGGCGUGGGUGUGGCCACCUCUCGUGGUGAGAUGUUGGGUUAAGUCCCGCAACGAGCGCAACCCUUGUCUCAUGUUGCCAGCACGUUAUGGUGGGGACUCAUAAGAGACUGCCGGGGUCAACUCGGAGGAAGGUGGGGAUGACG